rnacentral:rRNA from 1 species
AUGAACGCUGGCGGCGUGCCUAAUACAUGCAAGUCGAGCGAACGGACGAGAAGCUUGCUUCUCUGAUGUUAGCGGCGGACGGGUGAGUAACACGUGGAUAACCUACCUAUAAGACUGGGAUAACUUCGGGAAACCGGAGCUAAUACCGGAUGAUAUUUUGAACCGCAUGGUUCAAAAGUGAAAGACGGUCUUGCUGUCACUUAUAGAUGGAUCCGCGCUGCAUUAGCUAGUUGGUAAGGUAACGGCUUACCAAGGCAACGAUGCAUAGCCGACCUGAGAGGGUGAUCGGCCACACUGGAACUGAGACACGGUCCAGACUCCUACGGGAGGCAGCAGUAGGGAAUCUUCCGCAAUGGGCGAAAGCCUGACGGAGCAACGCCGCGUGAGUGAUGAAGGUCUUCGGAUCGUAAAACUCUGUUAUUAGGGAAGAACAUAUGUGUAAGUAACUGUGCACAUCUUGACGGUACCUAACCAGAAAGCCACGGCUAACUACGUG